CCUUGCGCUAAAUGUGGUGCACUUUAGCUAUCUAGGAACGAUCUUAGCUUCUGAGCGGGAACAGACGCCUGAGCUACUUCCUGUUAAUUCUUCUCAGCUGUGGUUGUGUGUUCCGUCCCAUGUUUCCAGCUGCCAGCACCACAGUCUCCUCCCUUCAGCGUAAACCUUGAGGAUUCAGUCUUAUACAGUCUUAGCACCUCUGUUUCUCCCGAGUUGGCUGAGAUUAAUUUUGCUCUGGAGCAGUGCAGCGCUUUCCUCGCGGGCUCAUAUGGCUUCACACUUCCUCUCAUCUGAAACAGAUCCAGCUUUGGACCGCUGAGGAGUUUCACAGAACCAAGAACUUUCUUGGUAUCUACAAAAUACAUGAUCCGUGUCGAAAGCUUGCUCCAGGACCGGUGGGGUUUAUCUGAAACCUGAGGGCCUCUGUCCACAGAUGGAUCUGCUGAAACCUCUGAGAUCACACCUUGUUCCCCUGCACAUAAAAACCUAGGGACAGAUGUUCCUGUGAAACCAGCCAGUGACAGACUCUCGGCUGCUUGGCCUCACAAAGCUCUGUAACUGUAACAGAUGCCUCCAUCCGGCAACCACUUCUCCAUGAUCUCACCGUCCAACUGUCCUCAUUUUAGGUGGAGUAAUUAGCACAUAUGGGCCCUCAAUCUUCAUCUGAAAUCACCUCUUGAACUGGAGCCAAAAGAGCAACUGAAAGCUGUUUUUCUGCUCCUAACAUCACCAGUUCUCCAGGACCAGCCUUGGUUCCAGUGGGGAAACAGACCACCCUCUUUGUGGCAAAAUCCUAUCAUCACAGAGAAGCCGAGCACCACAGGAAAACCAAAUAACCUUGAACACGUCCAAGAGCUUUUUGUGACUCGUGAUGUAUUAAGCAAACAGUCGGGGUACAGGCAUGUGUCCCAACCAGCGCUCAUUUCCUGCCUCUCUCGGGGGUUGACAAACAGAUGGACACCCAAAGGCGGGCUCCCCAUUAGCUCCCAAUGUCUCUGUGCUGCUGCCUCGGAGAGCAUUUCUCAACUAGAUACACUGAUUAUGGGCUGAGGAGCUCAGAGGGGGAUUUUUCUGCUUUGUUGUGUUUUGGCAGUCACUCUUAAGAAAGUGAUGCUGAUUGUGGCUUCAGUCUGGGAAUGCUUUAACUCAUCUAUGGGCAGAAGAUUUUAUCAGUCACUAAGCCACUCUCUGUGUAUUUCAACACGUUAUCUUUACAUGCACUCUUUGUUUCUACUUUUUACAGAGAUUAUCCACAAACAUUCACAGAGCCCUUCAGCAGUCAUCAUCUACCACCAUCUGAUAGAUGAUAUAUCUCUAGGAAGUGAUGUUAAUUUCCCCAUAAUUCCAGUGAAGUUGGUGGUUAGCGCUGAAUCUCUUCCAGAUAGGAUUUCCUGUUCCAUGUGACGUUAACGUCUGUAAUGUAAAUGCUGUCAUUUCUUGGUCCAUAUUAUCCCAGAGUAGGGCCCGCUCAUCUGUCGAGUCUUAGUUUAGUUCAGGAGUUGACUACAAGUUACUGGACAGCUUUACUCAGACUCACAUCCACAUAUAAGCCUGAAAAAGAAGCUGAUUCUCUGAUGAUGCACGUGCAAUUAACAGGAAUUAGGUUUAAAAUGUGCAGAUCUUUAAAAGUUUUUGUAGAAUCAGAUGACUUUAUCCCAGCAGGACAAUUUCAUUUCAGUCUACCAAGCACAACCAGCACCACUUGGCAGUGUUCAGCAAAAUAUAUGGAUAAACUGGUCAGUACAACUUUGAACACAAAUGCAAUAGAAAUGGAUACCAGAGAACUUCAAUCCCAACAAUCCAGAUCCUUUUCUACUAAAGAGACUAAUCCACCAAUGAGAGAGCACUUUGCACCAGUAGCAAGGGACUAUUCCAUUUUAACAGACAGGAACCUCGAGCAGACUCGGUGUCGGAAAGCUGUCUUCUUUGAAUAACAGCACGACUGCAACAUGAAGCAAAAA